AAUAUCUUAAUGGCGCAAAGGUCUUGUUAAAAAAACUCCUUGCAAUUUCCACACACAAUAGUGGCACCUAGAUUACUUCAACAAGCUACACUAUUCGACCUAGGCUUGACCUGGUGGUACUUAUACUUCUAAUACUAGGUAGGGCUCGCACUAAAGGUGUACUUCAGAGGAGAUAGGAAGCGAAGGCUCUGGUAUAGACCUUUGAUCGUCGGUCACGGUCUUAGGGUGCACGGUUUACUGGAAACGUAUUGACCUACGUCAACAUGUAAAUUGCUCUAGCUCUAGCACCCUAAUCUUAACUUUGUUAACUCA